rnacentral:rRNA from 1 species
UACGUAGGGGGCAAGUGUUGUCCGGAAUCAUUGGGCGUAAAGCGCGCGUAGGCGGCCAGAUUAGUCCGGUGUGAAAGUCAGAGGCUCAACCUUUGAAUGCCGCUGGAAACUGUCUGGCUUGAGUCCGGAAGGGGCGAGUGGAAUUCCUGGUGUAGCGGUGAAAUGCGCAGAUAUCAGGAGGAACACCAAUGGCGAAGGCAGCUCGCUGGAACGGUACUGACGCUGAGACGCGAAAGCGUGGGGAGCGAACAGG